rnacentral:rRNA from 1 species
UACAGGGGGGGCAAGCGUUGUUCGGAAUUACUGGGCGUAAAGGGCUCGUAGGCGGCCAACUAAGUCCGACGUGAAAUCCCAAAGCUUAACUUUGGAACUGCGUCGGAUACUGGAUGGCUUGAAUUCGGGAGAGGGAUGCAGAAUUCCAGGUGUAGCGGUGAAAUGCGUAGAUAUCUGGAGGAAUACCGGUGGCGAAGGCGGCAUCCUGGACCGACAUUGACGCUGAGGCGCGAAAGCGUGGGUAGCAAACAGG